rnacentral:lncRNA from 1 species
AAAAUCUGUUUAGUCACAGAAGCAGAUUGCUUCCACGGAGCGCAGAAAUGUAAUUUGCCAGUACUUAAGUUACAAUAUUAAAUACUAACAUGAAACUCCUUCCCCUUUUCAAUUCUUUAUAGCAAAAAAUACUUGGUGUGAAAUCUUGUUUCUACAAGGGUCAAUGAUAAAAUCUGCAUCAGUGACAGAGCAGCUUCUGCCCUUCCCAUGAGCAUGAAACUCACAUGUGAAAUGUGUUCAUCCUUGGUUUUGUCUAGCUGGAGAAGAGUCAACAAACCAGGAUGCACAAGAAAGAAGAGUACCUGGAAGAGCAGAAGAGAACAGCAAGAUCUCAAGCCAUAACU